GGAAGAGAGCAAGAACGUCAGGAAGGACAGUGGCUGAGAACUGAACAAUAAGGCCCAGGACACUCACACUGGAAGGGAUCUCCUUUGGUUUAAUUUGGCGGAAAGAAGGCAUGAGGAGGGGUUGCAGCCCUGCCGUGAAUGUGGGGAAGACACACGGAGCCUGGAGAGAGGACUGUUUCCACCCCACGCUGUGCAUGAGCCCUCUGCACCCAGAAAAGGCCACUAAGGUUCUUGAGAGUGGCUUCGCUGGGAGAGAAGCACUCAGUACUAGGAGAACUCUCCCUGAGAAUGAACUUAGGCUGUUACAAGAAGCAGGACAGAGGAGAAGAUACGCAACUACCCUGGGAGUGAGUGUUGGGCUUGGAGUCCUUCUCCCCUCUUCCCUUACUUCUUAGUUGUGUGGCUAGGGACCAGGACUGAGGAAUUCUGGGGGCUUACAGCACCCCAUCCCACCCCACCAUCUUGCAACCCAGGUCCUCUUGACCAUUCAAUAAAAUUUGUUUUAACAUCUCUGAGAAGUCAAAUGCUUCCAUUUGGGCUCUUCAUAUGCACUAAGGAAGAAACAGAGAAAGGCUAUGCCUUCUGAGGAGAGGUCCCAUCUACUCCCCCUCUUUUUUUAAAUUUAAAGAUCAACAGCCCAAGGAUUUUCUAGUGGAAUCUAUUCCUUCACUCUGCUCCCACACACCUGGACCUUCCACUGUGUCCACCCUGCCAAUCAGCCCCUGGCCCACAGUGACCUGUGCCCAUCCGUGGCCUCUUCCAUCUCCUUGUGUAGCUGUUGGGUUUUUUCGCUGCUGAGCACUGCAGGGCAAAGUCAAAACACUGGCUUUGUUUAGUCUCCUGCAGACUCAUGCUUUGUCACCUCAGCUGGGCCCUCGCAGCUGCUCAGCAAACUGUUUAUUGGAUGUGUGUCCACCUCUCACAUUCCUCACAGUCACUGCCCUAUCCUCUGAAGGCUUCAGUCCCAGUGUGUCCCCUCCCCACAGCUGAAGGCAUUCAA